rnacentral:rRNA from 1 species
UCCGAUAACGAACGAGACUCUAACCUACUAACUAGCCUGAUGGUUUCAGUAGGCGUUUCGGUUCUGCCGAGCGUUUACAUUAGCUGUCAUUGUGCUUCUUAGAGGGACAGGCGGUAGAUCAAGCCGCACGAGAUUGAGCAAUAACAGGUCUGUGAUGCCCUUAGAUGUCCGGGGCCGCACGCGCGCUACACUGAAAGAAUCAGCGUGUUUGACUUUUUUAAAGUUCCUUUGCUGAAAAGCAUGGGUAAUCCGUUGAAACUCUUUCGUGAUUGGGAUUGAGCUUUGUAAUUAUCGCUCAUGAACGAGGAAUUCCCAGUAAGCGCGAGUCAUCAGCUUGCGCUGAUUACGUCCCUGCCCUUUGUACACACCGCCCGUCGCUACUACCGAUUGGAUGAUCUGGUGACGUCUUUGGACUG